AGGACGAACGCUGGCGGCGUGCUUAACACAUGCAAGUCGAGCGGAAAGGCCCUUCGGGUACUCGAGCGGCGAACGGGUGAGUAACACGUGGGCAACCUGCCCUCCACUCUGGGAUAACUCCGGGAAACCGGGGCUAAAUACUGGAUACGACUAGCCUCCGCAUGGGGGUUGGUGGAAAGUUUUUCGGUGGAGGAUGGGCCCGCGGCCUAUCAGCUUGUUGGUGGGGUGAUGGCCUACCAAGGCUUUGACGGGUAG
rnacentral:rRNA from 1 species